rnacentral:rRNA from 1 species
GAUGAACGCUGACAGAAUGCUUAACACAUCAGCAAUUGAUUGGUGGCGGACGGGUGAGUAACGCGUAAAGAACUUGCCUCACAGGUAGGGACAACAUUUGGAAACGAAUGCUAAUACCUAAUACUGUGAGAGAGCUUUGCGUCCCAUUAGCUAGUUGGAGAGGUAACGGCUCACCAAGGCGAUGAUGGGUAGCCGGCCUGAGAGGGUGAUCGGCCACAAGGGGACUGAGACACGGCCCUUACUCCUACGGGAGGCAGCAGUGGGGAAUAUUGGACAAUGGACCAAAGUCUGAUCCAGCAAUUCUGUGUGCACGAUGAAGUUUUCGGAAUGUAAAGUGCUUUCAGUUGGGAAGCGGUACCAACAGAAGAAGUGACGGCUAAAUACGUGCCAGCAGCCGCGGUAAUAC